UGAUGCGGUCAUACCAGGCCUACUACACCAAAACUUUGUAGUUAGACUCCCAGCCCAAGGACGUUUAACUAGUACCGGGAUGAAUGACCUCCCGGAAAGUCCCGGUGCCGCAUCGA
rnacentral:rRNA from 1 species